rnacentral:rRNA from 1 species
CACUCCUACGGGAGGCAGCAGUGGGGAAGUAUUGCACAAUGGGCGCAAGCCUGAAUGCAGCCAUGCCGCGUGUAUGAAGAAGGCCGUCGGGUUGUAAAGUACUUUCAGCAGUGAGGAAGGUGGGUAUGUUAAUAGCAUACUCAUUUGACGUUAGCUGCAGAAGAAGCACCGGCUAACUCCGUGCCAGCAGCCGCGGUAAUACGGAGGGUGCGAGCGUUAAUCGGAAUUACUGGGCGUAAAGCGCAUGCAGGUGGUUUGUUAAGUCAGAUGUGAAAGCCCGGGGCUCAACCUCGGAAUUGCAUUUGAAACUGGCAAACUAGAGUACUGUAGAGGGGGUAGAAUUUCAGGUGUAGCGGUGAAAUGCGUAGAGAUCUGAAGGAAUACCGGUGGCGAAGGCGGCCCCCUGGACAGAUACUGACACUCAGAUGCGAAAGCGUGGGGAGCAAACAGGAUUAGAUACCCUGGUAG